CCUUUCACUAUCUUUUUUUUUCUUAACUAUUUUAUGAACCAGUUUUAAUUCAUAACCUAGAAACCUUAAAUAAAAACCUUAUGAUUUCUAGAAAAUUCCUUGCCCUAUUCUUGUAAAUAUUUUCUAUUAUUCACUGUUAAUUGAGGUUCAGUUUGACUUUCGCUACCAUUAACCAAUCAGAUGCGUUCAAUCUACACGAUUAACCAAUCAAAUGCGUUGUGCAAGUCAGUGAGUGAAAUGAAUAUAACUGGAACUACCUUCAAAUAAACUGCCUAUCUUUUUCUUGAAGCCAAA